GUAGGACUACCCGCUGAACUUAAGCAUAUCAAUAAGCGGAGGAAAAGAAACUAACAAGGAUUCCCCUAGUAACUGCGAGUGAAGCGGGAAGAGCUCAAAUUUGAAAUCUCCUUCGGGCGAGUUGUAAACUGGAGAAGCGUUAUCAGACGUCGGCCGCACUAAAGUCUCCUGGAAUGGAGUGUCAUAGAGGGUGAGAAUCCCGUGCUUGGUGCGAUUGCGGCGUUGUAGAGGCGUUUUCUAUGAGUCGAGUUGUUUGGGAAUGCAUCUCAAAAUGGGUGGUAAACUCCAUCUAAAGCUAAAUACUGGCGAGAGACCGAUAGCGAACAAGUACCGUGAGGGAAAGAUGAAAAGGACUUUGGAAAGAGAGUUAAAGAGUACGUGAAAUUGCUGAAAGGGAAGCGCUUGGAGUGAGUCGCGCGGGCGGGAGUCAGCUCUGCGUACUUCCUGCCCGUGGGCCAGCAUCGACCUUGGACGGCGGAUAAGGGCGGUGGGAAUGUGGCAUCUCCGGAUGUGUUAUAGCCUGCUGUCGUACACGCCGACCGGGGUCGAGGACUGCUUAGAGGAUGCUGGCGUAAUGGCUCUAAGCGACCCGUCUUGAAACACGGACC
rnacentral:rRNA from 1 species